rnacentral:rRNA from 1 species
GAUGAACGCUGGCGGCGUGCCUAAUACAUGCAAGUCGAGCGAACGGACGAGAAGCUUGCUUCUCUGAUGUUAGCGGCGGACGGGUGAGUAACACGUGGAUAACCUACCUAUAAGACUGGGAUAACUUCGGGAAACCGGAGCUAAUAACGGAUAAUAUUUUGAACCGCAUGGUUCAAAAGUGAAAGACGGUCUUGCUGUCACUUAUAGAUGGAUCCGCGCUGCAUUAGCUAGUUGGUAAGGUAACGGCUUACCAAGGCAACGAUGCAUAGCCGACCUGAAAGGGUGAUCGGCCAGCCUGGAACUGAGACACGGUCCCGACUCCUACGGGAGGCAGCAGUAGGGAAUCUUCCGCAAUGGGCGAAAGCCUGACGUAGCAACGCCGCGUGAGUGAUGAAGGUCUUCGGAUCGUAAAACUCUGUUAUUAGGGAAGAACAUAUGUGUAAGUAACUGUGCACAUCUUGACGGUACCGAAUCAGAAAGCCACGGCUAACUACGUG